rnacentral:rRNA from 1 species
CCUACGGGGGACAGCAGUGGGGAAUAUUGCACAAUGGGCGAAAGCCUGAUGCAGCAACGCCGCGUGAGCGAUGAAGGCCUUCGGGUCGGAAAGCUGUGUCCUCAAGGAGGAUAAUGACGGUACUUGAGGAGGAAGCCACGGCUAACUCGGUGCAAGAAGCGGCGGUAAUACGUAGGGGGCUAGCGUUAUCCGGAAUUACUGGGCGUAAAGGGGGCGUAGGUGGUUUCUUAAGUCAGAGGUGAAAGGCUACGGCUCAACCGUAGUAAGCCUUUGAAACUGGGGAACUUGAGUGCAGGAGCGGAGAGUGGAAUGCCUAGUGUAGCGGUGAAAUGCGUAGAUAUUAGGAGGAACACCAGUUGCGAAGGCGGCUCUCUGGACUGUAACUGACACUGAGGCACGAAAGCGUGGGGAGCAAACAGGAUUAGAUACCCGAGUAGUC